CACAGUCACAAGCAGUAGACUGUUAACUGCAUUUCUAACUGGCAGGAGUGGGGGAUGGGGUUGGAUAUAUGCAUGCUCCUUUAUGAAUGAUUCCCAAAUUAGUGUCUUUACCAAGGUGAUUCUCCUUAGAGAACAGUCUGCACCCCCAAGAGCUGAAAAUACUACGUAUUUUCUCCAGAUAGCCAAAGGCUGUGAAGACCCAGGAGUUCCCACGAAAGAGAAGAGGAUGCGUCCACAAUUGCCCAGGGCUGGAUAUGCUAUCGGUCUUUCCAACCCAUGGAUGCAUAAGACUGCAAGUAAACAACAGGCAGAGUUGGAGCUAAAGAAUUCUUACAUAAUUAUCUUCUCAUUGGAAGAAACCAUUCAUACAUAAAGUAUUCCUAUUUCCUUAGUAGUUUAUUAUUCCUUAGUAUGAAUUAUAUGAUUUUCGAUUAUGUAAAUUGUUCUACAAGAGGAGAUAUGUUUUAAACACAGUAAGCUAUGAAUACCUAAAUUGUUAUAGCCUUUCACCAUAAUAAAACAAUUAAAAUUUAAAUUAAAGCACAAUGAAA